GCAAUUUUGAUAAAUGAGGUAGUUUUUGAUAAUGUAUAUACUAGAAGAGAAAACAAAACACAUAAUAGCAUAAAUUUGAUUUAUUUUUCUCUUUUAUCACCACACUGAGCAAGCUAAAAACAAAAGUACAAAAUUUCAUAACAAACACAUAGUAUUCAACUUUUUAUCAUUACUUUGUAACCAUUUAUUUUGUAAAUACUAAUUAGAAUAGAAAACCAAGUUCGAUCCUUCAACUGUAUUCUUAUCCCAUCUUGAAUGGUAACACAAAUAUAGUAAUAGUGUUGUAUCGUAAUUCUGAGAUCAAUCAGCAUACAUGUAUAGUUGUAGAUGUUCCUGAUGUUUUGGUGUUCAUAGUGUACUGCAAGUAACUUCUCAUUGUGAGCUCUGUAGAGUUUGACAAUAAACCAAGUGCAUAUACAUAUGCCUAGAAGCAAGAAACAACCUAAGACAAAACUCUAUAAAGAUGAACCAAGUGUG
rnacentral:lncRNA from 1 species